rnacentral:rRNA from 1 species
ACUCCUACGGGAGGCAGCAGUGGGGAAUAUUGCACAAUGGGCGCAAGCCUGAUGCAGCCAUGCCGCGUGUAUGAAGAAGGCCUUCGGGUUGUAAAGUACUUUCAGCGGGGAGGAAGGCGAUAAGGUUAAUAACCUUGUCGAUUGACGUUACCCGCAGAAGAAGCACCGGCUAACUCCGUGCCAGCAGCCGCGGUAAUACGGAGGGUGCAAGCGUUAAUCGGAAUUACUGGGCGUAAAGCGCACGCAGGCGGUCUGUCAAGUCGGAUGUGAAAUCCCCGGGCUCAACCUGGGAACUGCAUUCGAAACUGGCAGGCUAGAGUCUUGUAGAGGGGGGUAGAAUUCCAGGUGUAGCGGUGAAAUGCGUAGAGAUCUGGAGGAAUACCGGUGGCGAAGGCGGCCCCCUGGACAAAGACUGACGCUCAGGUGCGAAAGCGUGGGGAGCAAACAGGAUUAGAUACCCCUGUAGUCCCAUGA